AGAGUUUGAUCCUGGCUCAGGAUGAACGCUGGCGGCGUGCUUAACACAUGCAAGUCGAACGGGGUACCCCCAAAGGAGUUUUCGGACAACUGCGGGGAAUACCUAGUGGCGGACGGGUGAGUAACGCGUGAGUAACCUGCCUUGGAGUGGGGAAUAACAGUUGGAAACAGCUGCUAAUACCGCAUGAUGCAGUUGAGUCGCAUGGCUCUGACUGCCAAAGAUUUAUCGCUCUGAGAUGGACUCGCGUCUGAUUAGCUGGUUGGCGGGGUAACGGCCCACCAAGGCGACGAUCAGUAGCCGGACUGAGAGGUUGGCCGGCCACAUUGGGACUGAGACACGGCCCAGACUCCUACGGGAGGCAGCAGUGGGGAAUAUUGGGCAAUGGGCGCAAGCCUGACCCAGCAACGCCGCGUGAAGGAAGAAGGCUUUCGGGUCGUAAAGCUCUGUUGCGGGGGAAAAAAGGCAGCAUCAGGAAAUGGGUGCUGACUGAUGGUGCCCCGCCAGAAAGUCACGGCUAACUACGUGCCAGCAGCCGCGGUAAUACGUAGGUGGCGAGCGUUAUCCGGAAUGAUUGGGCGUAAAGGGUGCGCAGGCGGUCCUGCAAGUCUGGAGUGAAACGCAUGAGCUCAACUCAUGCAUGGCUUUGGAAACUGGAGGACUGGAGAGCAGGAGAGGGCGGUGGAACUCCAUGUGUAGCGGUAAAAUGCGUAGAUAUAUGGAAGAACACCAGUGGCGAAGGCGGCCGCCUGGCCUGUUGCUGACGCUGAGGCACGAAAGCGUGGGGAGCAAAUAGGAUUAGAUACCCUAGUAGUCCACGCCGUAAACGAUGAGGACCAAGUGUUGGGGGUGAAACCUCAGUGCUGAAGUUAACGCAGUGAGUCCUCCGCCUGGGGAGUAUGCACGCAAGUGUGAAACUCAAAGGAAUUGACGGGGGCCCGCACAAGCGGUGGAGUAUGUGGUUUAAUUCGAAGCAACGCGAAGAACCUUACCAGGCCUUGACAUGGGAUGCGAAGAUGCAGAGAUGCAUCGGAGGUCAACAUCCACACAGGUGGUGCAUGGUUGUCGUCAGCUCGUGUCGUGAGAUGUUGGGUCAAGUCCCGCAACGAGCGCAACCCUUGUGGCAUGUUGCUAACAGGAAAAGCUGAGGACUCAUGCCAGACUGCCGGUGACAAACCGGAGGAAGGCGGGGAUGACGUCAAAUCAUCAUGCCCCUUAUGGCCUGGGCUACACACGUACUACAAUGGCGGCUACAAAGAGCAGCGAGACAGGGAUGUCGAGCGAAUCUCAUAAAAGCCGUCCCAGUUCGGAUUGGAGGCUGCAACCCGCCUCCAUGAAGUUGGAAUCGCUAGUAAUCGCGGAUCAGCAUGCCGCGGUGAAUACGUUCCCGGGCCUUGCACUCACCGCCCGUCAA
rnacentral:rRNA from 1 species